rnacentral:rRNA from 1 species
UACAGAGGGGGCAAGCGUUGUUCGGAAUUACUGGGCGUAAAGGGCGCGUAGGCGGCCUGUUAAGUCGAACGUGAAAUCCCCGGGCUCAACCCGGGAACUGCGUCCGAAACUGGCAGGCUUGAAUCCGGGAGAGGGAUGUGGAAUUCCAGGUGUAGCGGUGAAAUGCGUAGAUAUCUGGAGGAACAUCGGUGGCGAAGGCGACAUCCUGGACCGGUAUUGACGCUGACUGCGCGAAAGCCAGGGGAGCA